rnacentral:lncRNA from 1 species
UCCGUUUUUUUAAAAUCUAUCAUUAUUUGUUUUGUGGAUGUUUUUGUUGUUGGAACAAAGUUUAGUCCUUUAGCAAGAACUAAUGUUUCUGGUUGUGAUAAUUUUUUAGAGGAUAGGUUCAGCACAAAUUGUUUUGCAAUUUUAAGCUUGAUUUCUUUUUUAUGUAGUUUUAUUUUAUUUUUAACUGCUUUGAAUUUUUCAAUGUUUUUAUACUUUUUCUUGUUUUUAUUAAGUCUUCUAUGUUUUCCCAUGCUUUUCUUUUUGCAUUGGUAAUAAUUUUAUUUUGUAGUAUUUCAUAUACUUAAAUAUGAUUCUGUAUCACUAUUCUCAUUGGAUGUUUUUAAUUGUGUAAUGACCACAAGGGGUGUGUCCUUCUUCAUUAUUGUUUGGUCAGUAUCUAAAUUGCUAUCUAGAUCAAUCGUGGAUACGCAGUAGGCAAUAAAUAAACAAACCUAGGGAUAAAAUAUUCCCAGGUUUAUUGGUUUACUGUCAUUAAUUUGCAAUAUAUCAACAAUCCAAGUAAAAGCAAAAGUAGAGUUUAGGUAUUUUAGUAAUC